GACGAACGCUGGCGGCGUGCUUAACACAUGCAAGUCGAACGGAAAGGCCCUGCUUUUGUGGGGUGCUCGAGUGGCGAACGGGUGAGUAACACGUGAGUAACCUGCCCUUGACUUUGGGAUAACUUCAGGAAACUGGGGCUAAUACCGGAUAGGAGCUCCUGCUGCAUGGUGGGGGUUGGAAAGUUUCGGCGGUUGGGGAUGGACUCGCGGCUUAUCAGCUGGUUGGUGGGGUAGUGGCUUACCAAGGCUUUGACGGGUAGCCGGCCUGAGAGGGUGACCGGCCACAUUGGGACUGAGAUACGGCCCAGACUCCUACGGGAGGCAGCAGUGGGGAAUAUUGCACAAUGGGCGGAAGCCUGAUGCAGCAACGCCGCGUGCGGGAUGACGGCCUUCGGGUUGUAAACCGCUUUCGCCUGUGACGAAGCGUGAGUGACGGUAAUGGGUAAAGAAGCACCAGCUAACUACGUG
rnacentral:rRNA from 1 species